rnacentral:rRNA from 1 species
AAGUCGAGGGGAACGACAUCGAAAGCUUGCUUUCGGUGGGCGUCGACCGGCGCACGGGUGAGUAACGCGUAUGCAACCUGCCCGAUACCGGGGUAUAGCCCAUGGAAACGUGGAUUAACACCCCAUAGUACUUUUAUCCUGCAUGGGAUGUGAGUUAAAUGUUCAAGGUAUCGGAUGGGCAUGCGUCCUAUUAGUUAGUUGGCGGGGUAACAGCCCACCAAGACGAUGAUAGGUAGGGGUUCUGAGAGGAAGGUCCCCACAUUGGAACUGAGACACGGUCCAAACUCC